AAAAGCGGAAAAGAAAAUAACCAUGAUUCCCUUAGUAACGGCGAGUGAACAGGGAAAAGCCCAAAUUUGUAAUCUGGCACUUUUUACAAGUGUCCGAGUUGUAAUUUGUAGAACUGUUAUCCGUGCUGGACCAUGUACAAGUCUGUUGAAAAGCAGCAUCAUUGAAGGUGAAAAUCCUGUAGAUGAUAUGGACUACCAGUGCAUUUGUGAUACGGUUUCUAAGAGUCGAGUUGUUUGGGAAUGCAGCUCAAAGUGGGUGGUAAAUUCCAUCUAAGGCUAAAUAUAAGUGAGAGACCGAUAGCAAACAAGUACCGUGAGGGAAAGAUGAAAAGAACUUUGAAAAUAGAGUUAACAGUACGUGAAAUUGCUGAAAGGGAAACGUUUGAAGUUAGUUUUGUAUUCGUUGGAUCAGCUUCGCAAGGAGUGUAUUCUGAUGAUAAGCAAGUCAACAUCAAUCUAUGAGUGUCGGAGAAGGGUUUUGAGAAUGUAGCAAUUUUUAUUAAUUGUGUUAUAGCUUGAGACUUGGAUACGAUGCUUUGGAUUGAGGAACGCGUAGUAAGCUUUGAGCGGAUUCGAAAGGAUCUCCUUACUAUGGAUGUUG
rnacentral:rRNA from 1 species